AGUGAACGCUGGCGGCGUGCCUAAUACAUGCAAGUCGAACGGAGUGGCGCAUGGGUGAGUAAUGUAUAGCUAAUAUGCCCUACACUAGAGGACAACAGUUGGAAACGGCUGCUAAUACUCUAUAGUGUAGGAUGAGGCUAUAUUGUAUCAGCUAGUUGGUGAGGUAAAGGCUCACCAAGGCUAUGCAGCAAAACUGGUCUGAGAGGCUGAUCAGUGACACUGGAACAUGGACACGGUUCAGAGUCCUACAGGAGGCAGCAGUAGGGAAUAUUGCUCAAUGGGGGAAACCCUGAGGCAGCAACGCAGCGUGGAGGAUGACACUGUUCGGAGCGUAAACUCCUUUUGUUAGGGAAGCGGUACCUAACGAAUAAGCACCGGCUAACUCCGUGCCAGCAGCCGCGGUAAUAC
rnacentral:rRNA from 1 species